GAUGAACGCUGGCGGCGUGCCUAAUACAUGCAAGUCGAGCGAACGGACGAGAAGCUUGCUUUUCUGAUGUUAGCGGCGGACGGGUGAGUAACACGUGGAUAACCUACCUAUAAGACUGGGAUAACUUCGGGAAACCGGAGCUAAUACCGGAUAAUAUUUUGAACCGCAUGGUUCAAAAGUGAAAGACGGUCUUGCUGUCACUUAUAGAUGGAUCCGCGCUGCAUUAGCUAGUUGGUAAGGUAACGGCUUACCAAGGCAACGAUGCAUAGCCGACCUGAGGGGGUGAUCGGCCACCCUGGAGCUGAGACACGGUCCAGACUCCUACGGGAGGCAGCAGUAGGGAAUCUUCCGCAAUGGGCGAAAGCCUGACGGAGCAACGCCGCGUGAGUGAUGAAGGUCUUCGGAUCGUAAAACUCUGUUAUUAGGUAAGAACAUAUGUGUAAGUAACUGUGCACAGCUUGACGGUACCUAAUCAGAAAGCCACGGCUAACUACGUG
rnacentral:rRNA from 1 species